rnacentral:piRNA from 1 species
GAAUUGCCAUUUGCCCCAUGGGGA